rnacentral:lncRNA from 1 species
UGCCCCUUCUCCCCCAUUUUCCUUCUGUCGCAUCCCUCUUGUUAGGUCCCCCACGAGCCUUUCGGCUCUUAUUUCGCCUGAUCUCUUCGGGAUUUUUAGGGUUCUUGCUUGAAAUAUCUUCUGGACUAUCAAUAUUCUGUAGACUUUCUUUUCAGUCGACAUGAUAAAUCAAAUCAUCUGCAUUCCGAUUGUGAAGGGGGUUUGGUCAGAUCACCUGAGUUGGUCUUAUAGCAAC